GAUGAACGCUGGCGGCGUGCCUAAUACAUGCCAGUCGAGCGAACAGACGAGGAGCUUGCUCCUCUGACGUUAGCGGCGGACGGGUGAGUAACACGAGGAUAACCUACCUAUAAGACUGGGAUAACUUCGGGAAACCGGAGCUAAUACCGGAUAAUAUAUUGAACCGCAUGGUUCAAUAGUGAAAGACGGUUUUGCUGUCACUUAUAGAUGGAUCCGCGCCGCAUUAGCUAGUUGGUAAGGUAACGGCUUACCAAGGCAACGAUGCGUAGCCGACCUGAGAGGGUGAUCGGCCACACUGGAACUGAGACACGGUCCAGACUCCUACGGGAGGCAGCAGUAGGGAAUCUUCCGCAAUGGGCGAAAGCUUGACGGAGCAACGCCGCGUGAGUGAUGAAGGUCUUCGGAUCGUAAAACUCUGUUAUUAGGGAAGAACAAAUGUGUAAGUAACUAUGCACGUCUUGACGGUACCUAAUCAGAAAGCCACGGCUAACUACGUG
rnacentral:rRNA from 1 species